AAAUUAUGUUUCUGUUUCAGAAAGCGACUCGGAAUUCCAAUUGUGAUAAGUAAAUUAGCAAUGCUGGAAAAGAAGGAGGGGGAAGGAGAUGGGACUAAGCCCCCGCCCCCAACACAAAUCAAUAAAAUGAAGUUUUUCGGCGGAUCGCCGCAUGUUAAAAAGGAGAGACGACCGAGCUCCAGCAGGUUUAACAUAACACAAAACCGAGAACUAGCUAAACUACCCUUGUUAAAAGAAGCGAGUGCUGGGGAGAAAGAAGAAUUAUUUAUUCAGAAGAUUCGACAGUGCAGUGUUCUUUUCGACUUUGUCUCAGACCCGCUCUCAGACCUCAAAUGGAAAGAGGUGAAGCGUGCAGCGCUGCAGGAGAUGGUUGAGUACGUAAACAAUAAUCACGGUGUACUCACUGAACCCGUAUAUCCAGAGAUUGUAAGAAUGUUUUCUGUAAAUCUGUUCAGAGCCCUCCCGCCCAGCAAUAACCCUUCAGGGGCUGAGUUUGACCCAGAGGAGGAUGAACCAACCCUGGAGGCUGCCUGGCCUCAUCUUCAGCUUGUUUAUGAGUUCUUUCUCAGAUGCCUGGAGUCCAGUGAUUUCCAGCCUGGUCAGGCCAAACGAUACAUUGAUCAGAGAUUUGUUCUCCAGCUCCUAGAUCUAUUUGAUUCAGAGGAUCCCAGAGAGCGUGAUUUCCUGAAAACCAGUUUACACCGAAUAUACGGGAAAUUUCUAGGACUCCGGGCCUAUAUCAGGAAACAGAUCAACAAUAUCUUCUACAGCUUUAUUUACGAGACUGAGAGACACAACGGUGUGGCUGAGCUGCUGGAGAUCCUGGGAUCCAUCAUCAACGGGUUCGCUCUCCCACUCAAGGAGGAGCACAAGACCUUCCUUCUCAAGGUCCUGUUGCCGUUGCAUAAAGUGCGUAGUCUGUCCGUGUACCAUCCCCAGCUAGCGUACUGCGUUGUACAGUUUUUAGAGAAGGAUCCAUCUCUAACUGAACCGGUUAUUAUGUCCUUACUAAGAUACUGGCCUAAAGUACACAGUCCUAAAGAAGUUAUGUUCCUCAACGAAUUAGAGGAAAUCUUAGAUGUCAUCGAACCUGCCGAGUUCCAGAAGGUGAUGGGACCCUUGUUCACACAGCUUACAAAGUGUGUUUCCAGUCCUCACUUCCAGGUUGCUGAGAGAGCAUUGUACUAUUGGAACAAUGAGUACAUAAUGUCCUUGAUAUCGGAUAAUGCCAGUACAAUCCUCCCCAUCAUGUUCCCAGCUCUUUACAGAAAUAGUAAGAACCACUGGAACAAGACUAUUCAUGGUUUAAUCUACAAUGCACUCAAACUCUUCAUGGAGAUGAACCAAAAACUAUUUGACGAGUGUACUCAGCAAUUCAAGGCUGAGGUUUCUAAAGAAAAAGAUAAAGCCAGAGAAAGAUUGGAAGCAUGGAAGAGGGUGGAGGAAAGAGCUCGCGCUAACCCGGAUAUAGAAGCUGUCUCAAAAAUGUUAGCUGACACAAGUCUUCUGCCAGAUGGGCUUAUAGAGGAGAAAGUAGCUGAGAUUGAGGAUGUAAAUACUGGAUCUGGUCAAAACGGGAUUGUAAUCCCAUCAGUUGUAAACCCUGUAAAAGUUGAGAAGAAUCUGGAGAAACCCCUUCUUAGGCGUAAAUCUGACCUACCAGCUGAUAUUCUGACCCAGAGGUCAUUAGAGAACUAUCAGAGAGCUGAUGAGUAUUUAACCACACCAACUAACGACGCUUAGAUAAUCAUUCGACUUAUUAUUUGCCAUUUUAGUUACACUGUACUCUGUUCUCUGUACACUACGCUGUACACUGUACUCUGUUCUAUGUACACUACGCUGUACACUGUACUCUGUGCAGUACACACCGGACACUGUACAUUGUAAAUCAUGGCAGAUCUAUUUCGCCAUUUCCACCUAAUAUUUAUUAUCAAAAUGCUUUUCCAUUAUUUUUAAAGAUAGAUAAAAAACAUUUAACUAUGACUAAAGCAAUUAAUCUGACAAAAUAAACAUUAAAAAAUGGACUUUCAUUGUUGAACAAUGUCGUACAUUCUUUUGUUAUAAUUUUAUUUUUCUCUAUUAUUUAUCAGAAAUAUUUUAUCGGAAAGAUGUUUGUAUGUACAUCUGUAGUUCUAUUGUACGUAAUGUCUGAAAGAACAACCAAUACUUUAGUGUUACUCUAUGUACUUAAACCUAAACAUUUGACCAGUCAUGUGUACAUGCAAUGUAAAUAGUACAUAAUAUAAUGUACUGUUAGAAAAAGUGGAAUGCUUUUUAUCUGAAAAAGUAUGAUUCAGAAAUGGUUUGCUUUUUAUUUUAUGUUUCAAUGAGAAAACAGAAGAUGUCAAUUUUGCGUGAAUAUUUGUUGUAAUCUAUAUAAAUACGUAUACGAAUGUUGUCUGCUUCAUAAUUAUUAUAAAAUGAUAAAUGAAAAGCGCCUGGGGGCUGAAGGAAAGUGCUUUUAAGUCAUAAAUAAAAAAAUGCUAUCAACAUUACUUUAGAUAAAUGCAUUUUCAAAAAUCAUGACAAUGUUAAAAAAACUUAUUUAAGGAACUGUCUCCGUAAUUUCAUGAGUCUCAGCUAACACUUUAAACCGUGAUAAACAAUGAUAAACAACAUACCGUCGUAUUUGCUAUCUGAAAAAAACCCGCUGAAACCUAAUUAUUUCCUUUCUUGUCUCAGCCGCAAAAAAAUGUUACGUCACUUUUUUAGGGAAACGUCAAAUAAAACAUGUUAAUUUUUAGAGAAACGUCAAAUUAAACAUGUUAAUUUUUCAAAUUAAACAUGUUAAUUUUUCAAAUUAAACAUGUUAAUUUUUAGAGAAACGUCAAAUAAAGCAUGUUAAUAUUUAGAGAAACGUCAAAUUAAACAUGUGAAGCUUUAGAGAAACGUCAAAUUAAACAUGUUAAUUUUUAGAGAAACGUUAAAUUAAACAUGUUAGUUUUUAGAGAAACGUCAAAUUAAACAUGUUUAUUUUAGAGAAACGUCAAACUAAACAUGUUAAUUUUCAGAGAAACGUCAAAUAAAACAUGUUAAUUUUUAGAGAAACGUCAAACUAAACAUGUUAAUUUUAGAGAAACUUCAAAUUAAACAUGUUAAUUUUUAGAGAAAAAAAAUCUAUUUUAUCCCAACUAUGUGUCCAGAUACAAGUUUAAAGGGUGAAUCUGCAAGUAAGUUUUGGAACGCGGAGAAUCAUUUGAAAUUACGUACACAGUCCCUUUAAACUAAUCAAAUGAGUUUUGACAACUUUCAUUAGAUAUUCCUUUUGUAACACUAUCGUAAUGAGCACAAAGUUUGCGCUGCUAACAAUUUAGAUAUAACAAGUAUUAUAAGGUUGCUUCCAAUCCGCAUAUGACGACACUCUCCCCUCUAUAAUCAGUGACGGUCAUAUACGGAUUUGAUCUAUCUAUGCUUAGAAGACGACAUUUCCUGUACAUUGGAGCGCAUCGUGACGAAGAUAUACAACCUUGUUUUAAUUGAAACCGAAAUAAUUGUAGAGAUACCUUGGACACUGAAACGCCAAUGAAUCAAUAUUAUUCGAAACGACUUGUACGUUCUAAAUUGAAAUCAAUGACCCAGUAGCGCAAACUUUGAACUCAACUGAUUCUUAUUAAAAAUCAAAAUUGAUCAAAAUUUAUUCUUGUACCCUGUAAAACUAUUCUCAAAAUUGAAAAUCAAUUCUGAAAAAUUCCAGUUAAUUUUGGUUCUUUAACUGAAAUUCAUUGUACACUUUCAUGUCGUGUGCACAUUAUCUGUAUUUUACAAUAGUUAAUUUCUCUACGUCGAAACUAGACUUGUUUAGCCACCAAAACUAAUAAUCUAGGAAAAGGAAAAAUAUAUUCGGCCCGGAUUAUGUCCAAAAAAAUUUUUGUUAUGCAAUUUUUUUUUAAUGUUGCCAUGUCAUAUUUUGGUUGUUUUUUUAGACUCAUUCUUUUAAGUUCUACAUUCCCUUUUUUUCUGUAUGUUUGAAAAAAUUCACGAGCAUUUAAAGAAUUACGGCUUAUAACAGCGUCCUAUCAGAGUCUUAAAUUGUAAUAUUAUUGUAUCUAUCUUAUCAUACCAAUGAGAGUUGAACUAAGGUAAGGUGAAUAGAGUUUGUUGACAAUUUAAUGUGACGUAUUUGUACUGUCACGUUUAAAUGUAAACAAUCCCAUUUUCCCUUAUUAAGUUUAUACCUCAAAAGUAUCUUUAAUUUUUCUCAAUCUUAACCCAAUUGGCUUGAUUGCCUACUGCGUAGUGUCCAUGCAUAUGACUUUAUUGUAUAUUGUAUAUUGUAAUUUUAGGACGAAAUAUAUUAACUUACAAGGUGUA
rnacentral:misc_RNA from 1 species